AGCACAUCCUAAUUUGCCCCGAGUUUACCGAAGAGGAAAUUAGACAGGGCACGAUUCAACACUAAAAUAUUCUCACUAGUACGGAUGGUUAUGUCUCGCUACAAAAAUACGAAAGUCUUCUUAUUUCUUUCUCUUUCAAUCUUUUAUUUGAUGUUUUUACGAUUCAAUCUACUGAAAUAUACACUCAAUAUGAAAGAAAGCUAGUGAUGAGUAUUUGAGCUUAAGGGAUUUGAAUUUACUGUCAAUUUCAUUGAGUACAUGUGUUGUACUGCGUUCAUCGCUGCUGUUGAUUUCAAUUUCAGUUUCGAUUGUUGAUUAUUGGUAUCGGUGAGUUAAAUCCAUCUCUGUGUUGAAUCGUUGUUAAUGAUUUCAAUUUCUCAAUUUUGAUAUGUUUGAUUUCUCCUCAAAACCUAUUAUCAGGGUUUUCAAUUAAAUUCGUUAAGGUUAAUCUCUUCUUUAUUUCAAUCUCAGUUAAUCGAUAUUUUUUAUUACCUGAUGCAUCAUAUCAAGUAAGUUAGUUGGCAACAACAUUUUGGUUCGUACAUGUUUAUAUUACUGAACUUGGUUUUUUAGCAAACUAACAGUGAACUAUUAGUAAAGUUAAAUGCAACAGGAUAAAGGAUGCUUGUAAGGUGUUCGAUUAGCUGCCUCAACCGGAUGUUGUUUUUUAUAGUGCUUUACUUUUUGGUUCGUACAUGCUUUACUUUCUGGUUACUUUUUGAUCAUAAUAAUGAUGCUUUGUAGUUGUGUUGCUGCCUUAGGAUAUGGUUUUUGGUGUGACAAUCUUAAUGAUGAUUAUAAGGUUGUUAGUAUUGCACAAAAAUUACUAGGUUGUUUGUUGUUACAUUUUUAAGUAUCAAGUGAAGAAGCUAUAGAAACUACUAGGCUGUUUGCUUUGAAGGAAGGUUUGCUGGUAGGAUUAUGGCUUCACAUCCUUUUUUUAUUAAUAAUCUGCCUAUAUGCUUUGUUCUAUUUAGGAAAAAGAAUGUGCAUAUAUUAGCUACUGAGAUUGCUGUAGGAGGUCCAACAAAACUCAGCCGUAUAUAUCCCUUGCUACUCCAACUAUCGCAGCACCUCGUACACCUGAGCACAGCAGUCCCGUUUUGACUGAUCAGGCCCCUCGAACUCCUCAGACAAUAGCUAUUUAUGGCAUCAUAUGUUUGAUUCGGCAUAAAUUUAACUAAUUCUUUUUUGAUGUCAUUGGCUCUAUUUUGUUUGAUUUUGCUGCUGACUUUUGAAUUUUUGUUUUCUUUUAUUUCUAAUAUAGUUUUUCACUUGUUGUGUUUCUAAUACUUAAAUACAUUGUGAUUUUCUCCUUACAUACAUUGUUUAAAUAUACUGUUCAAAUGUGGAUUGUAGUUAUAGCUAAUCCAGGUGGAGGAGUAUUUAUAUCAGAUCCAAAAGAACCUACAGGAGGUCAUGUUGUUGCUCAUGCAGCCACAAUAAGGCUGAUCUCCGGGAACGGAAAAGGUGAACAACGUGUCUAUAAGCAAAUUUUGAAGACAGAUUUUGAUUAUAAGGUUCCUGAUGCCAAGCCAAUAUCAUUUGUCAAGGCAAAAAAAAAUUGAAACUUGUGAAGGGACUAAAUCCACUUAAUGACAACUUUGGUGAAAGUAUUAUUUCUUCUGAUCAACAAUGGGAGCGUAUUGCAUUUCUUUUGUAUCAAUAUGGAACACGAAGAUGGCGAAAAAUAUUGAGAGUGAUGAAGAGGUUGAAGUUAAGAAGACGAAUGCGGAAGCGACAAAGGCAAAAAUGAAGAAAACAAUUUAAAACUUGUGAUUGUCUAGUAUAUAAAUUUUCAGUUUUAGUUGUUUGUUUGGAUUAUUUUGUUGUAUAGGAUUGUUUUCUGAACUUAUGAAUAUUGGUUGUUAUUUUUGUUUAGUUUUAUAAAUUCAGUAUCUAUUUAGUA